rnacentral:rRNA from 1 species
GACGAACGCUGACGGCGUGCUUAACACAUGCAAGUCGAAGGGAGUGGCGAACGGGUGAGUAACACGUGAGUAACCUGCCCUUUUCUUUGGGAUAAGACUGGGAAACUGGGUCUAAUACUGGAUGGAUUGGGAUGGGCUCGCGGCUUGUCAGCUUGGUGGGGGGUUGAGGGCUUACCAAGGCUUUGAAGGGUAGCCGGCCUGAGAGGGUGGUCGGCCACACUAGGGCUGAGAUACGGCCCAAACUCGUUCGGGAGGCAGCCGUGGGUGAUAUUGCGCAAUGGACGGAAGCGUGAUGCAGCGACGAAGUGGGGGAGAUGAAGGACUUCGGGUUGUAAACUCCUUACGCCCGCGAAAUGGUAGUGGGUAAAGAAGCACCGGCUAACUACGGGGCAGCGGCCGCGGUAGUAC